UACGUAGGUGGCAAGCGUUGUCCGGAUUUACUGGGCGUAAAGGGUGCGUAGGCGGAUAUUUAAGUCAGAUGUGAAAUACCCGGGCUCAACUUGGGUGCUGCAUUUGAAACUGGAUAUCUAGAGUGCGGGAGAGGUAAGUGGAAUUCCUAGUGUAGCGGUGAAAUGCGUAGAGAUUAGGAAGAACACCAGUGGCGAAGGCGACUUACUGGACCGUAACUGACGCUGAGGCAUGAAAGCGUGGGGAGCAAACAGG
rnacentral:rRNA from 1 species